rnacentral:misc_RNA from 1 species
CUGAGUUAGGGAGCAAUCCCAAACCUCCAACCCUUUGUGAACACAUCUUGUUGCUUCGGGGGCGACCCUGCCGUUUCGGCGGCAUUCCCCCCGGAGGUCAUCAAAACACUGCAUUCUUACGUCGGAGUAUAAAGUUAAUUUAAUA